CUCUGUGAUGAUCCCAUGACACGUUUAGGCAUUCCUCAUUCUUAAUUUUCAUGUCGAAUCUGUCCUUACAAGUUUCAGCCUUGUCUGACA
rnacentral:snoRNA from 1 species